AAAUCUUCAUUGAUCAUUAUUUUCUUUAUAACAAAGAAUUAUGUGACUCUUUAUUUUGGUUCUCAUAAAUAAUGUUAAUAAAAUGUACCAAUGUUAUUUUUUAUAUUUGUAAGAUUUUUGGCUAACUUCCAAAUGUAUUGAUUAAUACCAUAAUUGCAGUAAUACACAAGAUGUUUCAAUCUAUUUUGGCUUUGCUUUGAAUCCAAAACUUCUUUGAUUUCAAAUUCUUAUUUACUUUACAUUUCUAUACAAAGAAAUAUUAUUUGUAUUCUUUUCAAUAUAUCCAUUAUCUUGUAUGGUUUAAAAAGAGGCAUGUAAAACACAUGAUAUACUCUAAUAAGUAUAAUAUCAUAUGAUAUUACAACAAAAUAACCAUACAUUAUUGCCAACAUGG
rnacentral:lncRNA from 1 species